rnacentral:rRNA from 1 species
GCGGCCGUAGCGCGGUGGUCCCACCUGACCCCAUGCCGAACUCAGAAGUGAAACGCCGUAGCGCCGAUGGUAGUGUGGGGUCUCCCCAUGCGAGAGUAGGGAACUGCCA